GCGGAUCUCUGGGAGGGCAUAAAUCACGUGAUGUUGAGUCCGGGCCAAUCCUGACAUUUUGUCUUUACACAACAAUCUCUGAAAUUCUUAUGUGCAGCAGAGUGUGGGGAGUUGUGUGUUAUCCUGUGUCGUUGUUUUGUGCAAAAACCUUGCUCAGCGGAUGAGAUUAAUAUGCACCAGAAGGGCCCAUCCAUUCUUCCAUCCAAUUGAUUGAAAAGCCCUUGAGGAGGGAAGACUAGAUCCAUCUUCUAUCCUGACGUAUCGAUUCUUGUCCUCCUGUUCCCUGGAAAGUUCUUCCGGAUGCCGUUUCCACAGUUCCCUGUUCGCAUUUUCUGUGUCCAUUGUCCGGCCCCUGUAUGGCUUUUCUUUAAAAAAUGUUGUUCCUCCACAAAGACAUCCUUUGCUUUUUCACUUCUGUUACUCUGUGAAGAAAUAGGGGAAGAGCCAGCAAGGGAACCAUCGAGAGAAUCUCUGUCCACACUAGAAAAACUGACCUUUUUUGGGGUUGGGAAACGCAUAAGGUGGGCCUGGGGGGUCUGUUUGUUAUUGAACUUUUAAUGCUAAUUUAAAUAAAGAAAUUUUUUAUGGAAAAGAAAGCCUUGGGACAGCUAUCUUUGGAUAAAAGGAAUCUUGAUGUAUAUAUCGCCUGUGAACUGGGGCGAGUCCCUUGGGCUUAACUAAGUUUAAAUCAGAGGUGGACUCCCAAUUUUUGUAUACAAUCUGGGA